UAAACUAGGAUUAGAUACCCUAUUAUUAAAAAUGUAAAUUAUUAUACUUGAUUAGUAUUAGUUAUGUUCUUGAAAUUCAAAGAAUCUGGCGGUAUUUUAGUCUAUUCAGAGGAACCUGUCCUGUAAUUGAUGAUCCACGAUUAAUUGUACUUAUUUUAAAGGUUUGUAUAUCGUCGUAAUUUGAAUGUUUUAAGAGAAAUAGGAAUGUUCAAGAUUUAUGAAGUUAAGUAAAAUCAGAUCAAGAUACAGCGUAUAAAUAAGGAGAGAUGGGUUACAAUAAAAAUAUUUAUAUGGUUAGUUUAAUUAACAUUAUUCUAUAAAGUGGAUUUGAAAGUAAUAUAAUUGAGUUUAAUUAUAUGAUUUUAGCUCUAAAAUAUGCACAUAUCGCCCGUCGCUCCCAUUAUAAGAUGGGAUAAGUCGUAACAGAGUAGGUGUACUGGAAGGUGUACCUAGUAAGACAAAUUAGAGCUUGUUAUAAAGCAUUUUAUUUACAUUAAAAAGUUAGUUGUGAGAAUCAAUUUAAUUUGAAGUUUGAUAUUUAUAUUUAAUUAUUAAAAAAAAUAUUUUUAUUAUUAGUAUUUUAGGAAUUUAAGGUAUAUAUUAUAGUUUAAAGUAUAGUGAUAGAUUAUUGAAAUAUAAUUUUAAUUUAAUUAGGAAAAAGAAGAAUUAAUUUUUUGUACCUUGUGUAUCAGGGUUUAUUAAAAUAAUUUAAUUUGUUAGAUUUCUCGAAUUAAAAAGAGCUAAUAUUAUAUAAAUUUAAUUGUAGAAUAAAUUUUUAUAAUAUAAUAUUAGAAAUGAAACGUUAUUCGUUUUUUAAGAUAUCUAGUUUUUUAAGAAAUAAAUUUAAUUUAUUUUAUUAUUGAUAUUUAACUAAAUUUUUAGUUAAAUAUAAUAAUAAAUAAAUAUUUUAGGGGAUAAGCUUUAAAAUAUAUUAAUAUAAUUUUUAAUUUUAAUAGAAAAAAAAUUAUAGGAUUGGAAAUUUUCAUUAUAUAGUAUGUUAUAAUUAAUUUUUUUUAUAAUAAGAUUUAUAUUUAGAUUUAUAUGAUUUAUUAAAAUGAUAUAAUUAGUUUUAUUUUAUAUGUAAUAAUGAUAGAAUUAGUAUAAUUUUAUGUAUUUUUAAUUUAUAAGAUUUAGGUUAAGUUAAGGAAUUCGGCAAAUUUAUUUUUCGCCUGUUUAUUAAAAACAUGUCUUUUUGAGGAUAAUUUAAAGUCGGACCUGCCCAAUGAGGAGUUGAAUGGCCGCGGUAUUUUGACCGUGCAAAGGUAGCAUAAUCAUUAGUUUUUUAAUUGAAAGCUAGAAUGAAUGGUUGGACGAGAAAAUAGCUGUCUCAGUUUAAUUUAAAUUAGAAUUUUAUUUUUAAGUAAAAAAGCUUAAAUAGGUUUAAAAGACGAGAAGACCCUAUAGAGUUUUAUAUUUUUUAUUAUAUUAAUAUUUUAGUAUUAUUAUAGUUUUUAUAUUAAGGGAUAUUUUGUUGGGGUGACAAAAAAAUUUAAUGAACUUUUUUUAAGUUAAAACAUUUAUUUAUGAAUAUAUGAUCCGUAUUAUACGAUUAAAAGAUUAAAUUACCUUAGGGAUAACAGCGUAAUUUUUUUUGAGAGUUCUAAUCGAAAAGAAAGUUUGCGACCUCGAUGUUGGAUUAAAAUUAACUUUUGGUGCAGUAGCUAAAAGGUUAGGUCUGUUCGACCUUUAAAAUUUUACAUGAUCUGAGUUCAAACCGGAG
rnacentral:rRNA from 1 species